rfam:Oryza nivara chromosome 8, whole genome shotgun sequence.
AAAAAGACAAACCCUGGGUUUUCAUAUCCAACGUUUGAUUGUCCGUUUUAUAUAAAUUUUUUUAUAAUUAGUAUUUUCAUUGUUGUUAGAUGAUAAAGCAUGAUUAAUAUUUUAUGUGUGAUUUGUCUUUUUAAUUUUUUUCAUAAUUUUUUUCAAAUAAGACGGAUAGUCAAACAUUGGACACGAAAACCCAAGGUUUGUCUUUUU